GGCUUCUUAGCUCAGGUGGUAGAGCAAUUGUCGCAUUUGGCAUGCUGUUUCUGUCGCUGGUUCGGAUCCAGCCGAAGCCC